rnacentral:rRNA from 1 species
AGGACGAACGCUGGCGGCGUGCUUAACACAUGCAAGUCGAACGGUGACGGAGAGCUUGCUCUCCUGAUCAGUGGCGAACGGGUGAGUAACACGUGGGCAACCUGCCCCAGACUUCGGGAUAACGCUUCGAAAGAGGUGCUAAUACCGAAUACGAACCUCCCUGGCAUCUGGGAGGUUGGAAAGUUUUUCGGUCUGGGAUGGGGCCCGCGGCCUAUCAGCUUGUUGGUGAGGUAGCGGCUCACCAAGGCGACGACGGGUAGCCGGCCUGAGAGGGCGACCGGCCACACUGGGACUGAGACACGGCCCAGACUCCUACGGGAGGCAGCAGUGGGGAAUAUUGCGCAAUGGGCGAAAGCCUGACGCAGCAACGCCGCGUGAGGGAUGACGGCCUUCGGGUUGUAAACCUCUUUCAGCAGGGAAGAAGCGAAAGUGACGGUACCUGCAGAAGAAGCACCGGCUAACUACGUG